rnacentral:rRNA from 1 species
GAUGAACGCUGGCGGCGUGCCUAAUACAUGCAAGUCGAGCGAACAGACGAGGAGCUUGCUCCUCUGACGUUAGCGGCGGACGGGUGAGUAACACGUGGAUAACCUACCUAUAAGACUGGGAUAACUUCGGGAAACCGGAGCUAAUACCGGAUAAUAUAUUGAACCGCAUGGUUCAAUAGUGAAAGACGGUUUUGCUGUCACUUAUAGAUGGAUCCGCGCCGCAUUAGCUAGUUGGUAAGGUAACGGCUUACCAAGGCAACGAUGCGUAGCCGACCUGAGAGGGUGAUCGGCCACACUGGAACUGAGACACGGUCCAGACUCCUACGGGAGGCAGCAGUAGGGAAUCUUCCGCAAUCGGCGAAAGCCUGACGGAGCAACGCCGCGUGAGUGACGAAGGUCUUCGGAUCGUAAAACUCUGUUAUUAGGGAAGAACAAAUGUGUAAGUAACUAUGCACGUCUUGACGGUACCUAAUCAGAAAGCCACGGCUAACUACGUG